GCAGCCUGAAACACAAGAGGGAACUUUUUCAAUUUCUAUUCCAUCAAUCCUUUAACUUCAAGGAAUUGCUAUGGAUACAGCGGUAUAAACACUCGCAGGCAUAAAACUGAAGCUGAAAGGCGAAGGCAGGGGAUUACUGCUUCACACAUCCACCCCCUAUUUAUACUUACAUCUGUCAAAACUGCCAGGAGAAUCUGACUGAUUACAGAAAUGGUGCUCUCAAGAGCAGCUGCUUCUACAGCUCAAGAGCAAUCUACGGAGCUUCUCCUGUGCAGCAUCACCCCGAGCCCCCCUCUAACAGCAUUGCAGUCAUCUGCUAAGUGAAAGCCAGUGAGAUCUGCUGUGCCAGAAUUUAAUGAGCUGGGAUAAUCGUGAGUCCCGAACACUUCACCCGACAAAGCAGGAAGCAGGGUCAGCUCACGUACGCUGCGGCAAAUCUCGAAAGCAUCAAAUGGAGCAUCCCCCGUCCCUCUGCACAGCCCCGUUUUUCCUCCAGACCAACAUAUUCUGUGACUGCCGUGAGCGUUUUUGCUGCUGAGUUAUUUUCCACCUGAUAGCGCAGCGACUUGCACAAGAAUAACAAAGCCAAUAGCCACAAGCAGUCAAGAAUGAGGACUAAAGCACAGAAUUAUUUUUUUUACGACUUCCUUUGAGCAGACCAUCUCAAAACGUGCUCCACCAUAACCUUAGCGUCUCUGUUCUCCUCUUGGUGUUGUGCUCUCAGCUCUGCACAACCUGAAUUCCUCAUCCUGGUUAGCUGUAUCUCCCUACCCCUUUCAUUUACAGAUGUUUUCCUCAAAGCUGCUUUCAGGACUGCCCUAUUUCCACUUGAACAUGUAAAACAAACCAAUCUUUGGAUGGUCAGCAUGUGUUGAGGCCACUUGAGCAGGGAUGCUCUUGCAAGACCAUUGCCUUCUGCUCGCUCCCUUCAGCCUGAUUUCACCGCUGCCUUGCUGGGGCCAAGCCUCAGCCCAUCAGACCUUCAAACCACAGGCUGCGUGCAAACCUCUCGAGCAGGGGAGGGAUAUCCUAAAAAGGGUGGACGCGGUAAACACGCUACAGGGUGUGAGCUCGGCACCCUGGGGGCAGAAAUGUGAUGGCAGUUCCUGUGUGAGGGCCCCAGCUGCAGCUCCGGGCAGCCUCCUGCAGCGCGGAGAGUUUAGGUGAAGCCUCUUUUGCCUUUCCAGCCCCUUAGACACACAGAGACAAGCUGCAUCCUGGCUGCUUGGCCCUCACCCCUCCUUACCUGGCCUGCUUUGGCACUGAAAAAAAAAUCCUCCCAUUUCCUUCACAGCGCUGCAGCCACCUGUGACACCCAUCUUUCUGCAGGCUCUGUCCUCCCCCUUUCCCCUCAUUCCUGCUUUUGAAUUUGCAAGCCAGUUUCCCCCAGAUUUGGCCGAAAGUGAGAGCUCUUGCAGAUAUCUGAAGCAUCUCAUGAAAACAGUGAGCUGGCUUCCUGCCUUACUGAACCCAUUCUAGGCAUCAGAGAAUCUACACAGCGUUGCUUCUCCAGCUUCUGUCGGGUUUUGUUCUGCUGUUUUCUGGAGGGAUAGAUGGGAACCUGGGAUCCAUCCCCGUGCAUUUCUCUAGAAGAGACACUCUCCCUCCAUUUCUAUGCAAAGUUAAAACUCCUGGGGCAUCUCAUUUCCUGCAGUAGGGUCAUCUGAGAGCUGUGCAGACACAUAACUCAGAGCCUGGGAAGUGUGAAGUAAGAAGGUUUGAUUUAAAAACCUUCGUUGCUUUAGAUUAAUGGCCUCCUAACAUAUCUGUCUGUGGAAGCUUAUUCGUAAAUCACAGGAAUCCCGCAUUAAUAAGAACUUCUCCCAUAGAAAUGAACCGCAGGUUUAUUCUGUGGUGCUCUUUCUUUCCUUCUUUUUUUAAGUGACAGACCCAGAAAAUCAGUUACGAGUAGGCAGGCCAGUCUAUAAAGCCGCCUGGGAGAAUAAUGUAUUCUGGUUCAGACCAAAGGAAGGGUUUGUAAACCCGAGAGCUUGCCUGCUUUUUCCAGUUAGUUUAAUAAAAAAUACUGCUUCUCUCCACAGACCACGCAGUUCUUGGGCCGUCAGACCAUUGUGGCUACAAAAAUCAUCACUUCUUAGAAAAUAAAUAUAGGAGCUUCGGUCUCUUCUGAUUAAAGUGAAACCGUAAUGGCUCUCAGCAGACAGCGCAGUGGCUCGUGAGGCUGCGAGAAGAGAGCAGUAGGAAACCUGCAUGCUGCGGGCUCUGCCCGCUUCCCUGUUCCUGUGGCUCUGCAGAACAGAAGCGAUACAGGAAUCCAGGGCCCUGGCUUCAGCUGCGUGUGGAUAGGAUGCAGCACGAGGGCGGCGUAUUUAACAUGCUACAGCUAUCCAACAUCUUUGCAUUGCCUUCAAGAGCAAUGCCUCAGCCUUUUUGUAAAUCAGGCCCCACAUUCUGGAAUCACAAGAGGGUCAGAACCUCCGGACUGUAUAAAAUGAGGGAGACAAAGCUAAGGGUGACUGACAGCUGAAUGCUUUUAGCAGCUUCCUGUUUUGUUUAUGGUACAACAAAGUGGCAACUGUUUUGGGUCUCAGCAACUUAAAUCUUACAUACCUAUACUCUGGACAUCCCUACUGGGAUGCUCUCCUGACCAAAGCAGCAGCAUCGGAAAUUCUGCAGAGCUAAGGCGUUAUCUCCUUACAUCCAGCCCUGCUAUUCUGCUAGAAACCUACUGCCCUUCCUUUCUGCAUUUAUUGCUCACUUCAGUGCCACAGUUUUGCACCUGCACAUCACAACGACAAGGUGCAGCACCCUCACAAACAGCACAGCCAGCAGGGAGUUAAGCAGCAAUUUUGGGGAAGUGUGUUUGUUUGAUUAGUUUGCACGUAAGGUGAUUGGGGCCACACGUCUUCCUAAGAGCCCAGAGGAGAGGUUAGGGCCUGCACCACAGCACUCUGCAAAAAGAGCUCUUUGUCUAGGGCACAGGAGGAUCAUGCUAACCGGGGAACCUAAGGGAAGGCAAGGCUCCAAAACACAGUGACAGCCAGGUUUUGUUUUAGCCCGAGCAGGCCUGGUUUUGUGUGUGCUUAAAAACUUUUUUGUUUGGAAACGA